rnacentral:SRP_RNA from 1 species
GCCAGGUGUGGUGGCUCACGCCUGUAAUCCCAGCACUUUGGGAGGCUGAGGCGGGUGGAUCACUUGAGGUCAGGAGUUCGAGACCCAGCCUGGCCAACAUGGUGAAACCCCGUCUCUA